rnacentral:rRNA from 1 species
GCAAGUCGAACGAGAAAGCACGUCGGUGUGAGUAAAGUGGCGCACGGGUGAGUAACGCGUAGGUUAUAUGCCUUUUAGUGGCUGACAACAGUUGGAAACGACUGCUAAUACCGCAUGAGCUUGGGGAAAUUGGAAAACGUAAGGAAAGGGGGAAACGUUUCUCGGUAGAAGAUUGGCCCGCGUGACAUUAGCUUGAUGGUGGGGUAAUGGCCUACCAUGGCGACGAUGUAUAGCUGGUUUGAGAGGAUGAUC